UGAUAGCGAUGAAGCAUGAGGUUGCUGCCCAUGGGGCAGGUUUUUCUGUGGAGCGAAUGUCAAGUUAGGAAACUGACGGCAA
rnacentral:ncRNA from 1 species